rnacentral:tRNA from 1 species
UGGCAGAGUGGUUAAAAGCACUCGGCUGCUAACCGAGAGGUUGGUGGUGAAAACCCACU